rnacentral:rRNA from 1 species
GAUGAACGCUAGCGGCAGGCUUAAUACAUGCAAGUCGUGGGGCAGCAUGAGUGUAGCAAUACAUUUGAUGGCGACCGGCAAACGGGUGCGGAACACGUACACAACCUUCCUAUAAGUGGGGAAUAGCCCAGAGAAAUUUGGAUUAAUACCCCGUAACAUAACGAUGUGGCAUCAAAUUGUUAUUAUAGCCUCGGCGCUUAUUGCUGGGUGUGCGGCUGAUUAGAUAGUUGGCGGGGUAACGGCCAACCAUGUCUACGAUCAGUAGCUGAUGGCAGAGCAGAAUCACCCACAAGGGAACUGAGACACAGGCCCGACUCCUACGGGAGGCAGUAGUAAGUAUUAUUGGUGAAUGGACGAAAGUCUGAUCCAGCCAUGCCGCAUAAAGGAUUAAGGUCCUCUGGGUUAUAAACUCCUUUUAUAAGUGACGAAAAAAGGUCUUUCUAGAUCGUCUGACGGGACCUUAUAAAUAAGCACCGGCUAACUCCGUGCCAGCCGCCGCGGUAAAAC